AACGAACGCUGGCGGCAUGCCUAACACAUGCAAGUCGAACGAGACCUUCGGGUCUAGUGGCGCACGGGUGCGUAACGCGUGGGAACCUGCCCUUAUGUUCGGAAUAACUCCCCGAAAGGGGUGCUAAUACCGGAUAAUGUCUUCGGACCAAAGAUUUAUCGCCUUUGGAUGGGCCCGCGUUGUAUUAGCUAGUUGGUAGGGUAAAAGCCUACCAAGACGACGAUCCUUAGCUGGUCUGAGAGGAUGAUCAGCCACACUGGGACUGAGACACGGCCCAGACUCCUACGGGAGGCAGCAGUGGGGAAUAUUGGAAAAUGGGCGAAAGCCAGAUCCAGCAAUGCCGCGUGAGUGAUGAAGGCCUUAGGGUUGUAAAGCUCUUUUACCCGGGAUGAUAAUGACAGUACCGGGAGAAUAAGCUCCGGCUAACUCCGUG
rnacentral:rRNA from 1 species